AUUGAACGCUGGCGGCAUGCCUUACACAUGCAAGUCGAACGGUAACAGGUCUUCGGAUGCUGACGAGUGGCGAACGGGUGAGUAAUACAUCGGAACGUGCCUAGUAGUGGGGGAUAACUACUCGGAAGAGUGGCUAAUACCGCAUGAGAUCUACGGAUGAAAGCAGGGGAUCGCAAGACCUUGUGCUACUAGAGCGGCCGAUGGCAGAUUAGGUAGUUGGUGGGAUAAAAGCUUACCAAGCCGACGAUCUGUAGCUGGUCUGAGAGGACGAUCCGCCACACUGGGAGUGAGACACGGCCCAGACUCCUACGGGAGGCAGCAGUGGGGAAUUUUGGACAAUGGGCGCAAGCCUGAUCCAGCAAUGCCGCGUGCAGGAUGAAGGCCUUCGGGUUGUAAACUGCUUUUGUACGGAACGAAAAGCCCCGGGUUAAUACCCUGGGGUCAUGACGGUACCGUAAGAAUAAGCACCGGCUAACUACGUGCCAGCAGCCGCGGUAA
rnacentral:rRNA from 1 species